AGUGAACGCUGGCGGUAGGCCUAACACAUGCAAGUCGAACGGCAGCACAGUAAGAGCUUGCUCUUACGGGUGGCGAGUGGCGGACGGGUGAGGAAUAAAUCGGAAUCUACUUUUUCGUGGGGGAUAACGUAGGGAAACUUACGCUAAUACCGCAUACGACCUUCGGGUGAAAGCAGGGGAUCUUCGGACCUUGCGCGAUUGAAUGAGCCGAUGUCGGAUUAGCUAGUUGGCGGGGUAAAGGCCCACCAAGGCGACGAUCCGUAGCUGGUCUGAGAGGAUGAUCAGCCACACUGGAACUGAGACACGGUCCAGAGUCCUACGGGAGGCAGCAGUGGGGAAUAUUGGACAAUAGGCGCAAGCCUGAUCCAGCCAUACUGCGUGGGUGAAGAAGGCCUUCUGGUUGUAAAGCCCUUUUGUUGGGAAAGAAAAGCAGCAGGUUAAUACCCCGCUGUUCUGACGGUACCCAAAGAAUAAGCACCGGCUAACUUCGUG
rnacentral:rRNA from 1 species